GGGUCUUUAGUGUAGCGGUUAACAUGUCCGCCUGUCACGCGGAAGAUCACGGGUUCGAAUCCCGUAAGACCCGCCA
rnacentral:tRNA from 1 species